UUGAGCAUCAAACACUUUAAUUGAAGAGUUUGAUCAUGGCUCAGAUUGAACGCUGGCGGCAGGCCUAACACAUGCAAGUCGGACGGUAACAGGAAACAGCUUGCUGUUUUGCUGACGAGUGGCGGACGGGUGAGUAAUGUCUGGGGAUCUGCCCGAUGGAGGGGGAUAACCACUGGAAACGGUGGCUAAUACCG
rnacentral:rRNA from 1 species